GAUUAACGCUAGCGGCAGGCAUAAUACAUGCAAGUUGAACGGGAUAAGUUUAGCAAUAGACUUUGAGAGUGGCGCACGGGUGCGUAACACGUAUGCAACCUACCCGAUACUGGGGGAUAGCCUCUCGAAAGAGAGAUUAAUACCCCAUAACAUAAAGUGUAGGCAUCUAUAUUUUAUCAAAGUUCCGACGGUAUCGGAUGGGCAUGCGGUUGAUUAGCUAGUUGGUGAGGUAACGGCUCACCAAGGCGACGAUCAAUAGGGGUCCUGAGAGGGAGAUCCCCCACACUGGUACUGAGACACGGACCAGACUCCUACGGGAGGCAGCAGUGAGGAAUAUUGGACAAUGGGCGCAAGCCUGAUCCAGCCAUGCCGCGUGCAGGAAGAAGCAUCUAUGGUGUGUAAACUGCUUUUGUACGGGAAGAAACACUCCUACGUGUAGGAGCUUGACGGUACCGUAAGAAUAAGGAUCGGCUAACUCCGUGCCAG
rnacentral:rRNA from 1 species